UACGUAGGGGGCAAGCGUUGUCCGGAUUUAUUGGGCGUAAAGAGCGUGUAGGCGGCCGCACAGGUCCGUUGUGAAAACUGGAGGCUUAACCUUCAGACGUCGAUGGAAACCGUGCGGCUAGAGUCCGGAAGAGGAGAGUGGAAUUCCUGGUGUAGCGGUGAAAUGCGCAGAUAUCAGGAAGAACACCCGUGGCGAAGGCGGCUCUCUGGGACGGUACUGACGCUGAGACGCGAAAGCGUGAGGAGCGAACAGG
rnacentral:rRNA from 1 species